GCAUUGGUGACUCAGUGGUAGAACUCUUGCCUUCCAUGCAACAGACCAGUGUUCGAUUCCCUUCCAAUGCA
rnacentral:tRNA from 1 species